UACCAGCACCCCGAGUGGUCGGGACGUUUAUUGGGCCUAAAGCAUCCGUAGCCGGUUCUACAAGUCUUCCGUUAAAUCCAGCUGCUUAACAGAUGGGCUGCGGAAGAUACUAUGGAGCUAGGAGGCGGGAGAGGCAAGCGGUACUCGAUGGGUAGGGGUAAAAUCCGUUGAUCCAUUGAAGACCACCAGUGGCGAAGGCGGCUUGCCAGAACGCGCUCGACGCUGAGGUGCGAAAGCGUGGGGAGCAAACAGG
rnacentral:rRNA from 1 species